rnacentral:rRNA from 1 species
ACGCUAGCUACAGGCUUAACACAUGCAAGUCGAGGGGAAACGACAUUGAAGCUUGCUUCGAUGGGCGUCGACCGGCGCACGGGUGAGUAACGCGUAUCCAACCUGCCUCUGACUAAGGGAUAACCCGGCGAAAGUCGGACUAAUACCUUAUGAGGUUUUCAGCAGACAUCUAACGAAAACGAAAGAUUUAUCGGUCAGUGAUGGGGAUGCGUCUGAUUAGCUUGUUGGCGGGGUAACGGCCCACCAAGGCAACGAUCAGUAGGGGUUCUGAGAGGAAGGUCCCCCACACUGGAACUGAGACACGGUCCAAACUCCUACGGGAGGCAGCAGUGAGGAAUAUUGGUCAAUGGGCGAGAGCCUGAACCAGCCAAGUAGCGUGCAGGAUGACGGCCCUAUGGGUUGUAAACUGCUUUUAUGUGGGGAUAAAGUGAGCUACGUGUAGUUUAUUGCAGGUACCACAUGAAUAAGGACCGGCUAAUUCCGUGCCAGCAGCCGCGGUAAUACGGAAGGUCCAGGCGUUAUCCGGAUUUAUUGGGUUUAAAGGGAGCGUAGGCCGUGGAUUAAGCGUGUUGUGAAAUGUAGACGCUCAACGUCUGAAUUGCAGCGCGAACUGGUUCACUUGAGUAUGCACAACGUAGGCGGAAUUCGUCGUGUAGCGGUGAAAUGCUUAGAUAUGACGAAGAACUCCGAUUGCGAAGGCAGCUUACGGGAGCACAACUGACGCUGAAGCUCGAAGGUGCGGGUAUCAAACAGGAUUAGAUACCCUGGUAGUCCGCACAGUAAACGAUGGAUGCCCGUUGUUAGUUCACUUAUGAAUUAGCGACCAAGCGAAAGCAUUAAGCAUCCCACCUGGGGAGUACGCCGGCAACGGUGAAACUCAAAGGAAUUGACGGGGGCCCGCACAAGCGGAGGAACAUGUG